GGGCCCGCACAAGCAGCGGAGCAUGUGGUUUAAUUCGAAGCAACGCGAAGAACCUUACCAGGUCUUGACAUCUAUUGACCGUCUGAGAGAUCAGAUUUUCCCUUCGGGGACAAUAAGACAGAUGGUGCAUGGUUGUCGUCAGCUCGUGUCGUGAGAUGUUGGGUUAAGUCCCGCAACGAGCGCAACCCUUAUGUUUAGUUGCCAUCAUUGAGUUGGGCACUCUAAACAGACUGCCCGUGAAAGCGGGAGGAAGGUGGGGAUGACGUCAAAUCAUCAUGCCUCUUACGACCUGGGCUACACACGUGCUACAAUGGUCUGUACAAAGGGUAGCCAAGCAGUGAUGCGGAGCCAAUCUCAUAAAACAGACCUCAGUUCGGAUUGCAGGCUGCAACUCGCCUGCAUGAAGUCGGAGUUGCUAGUAAUCGCGAAUCAGAACGUCGCGGUGAAUGCGUUCCCGGGCCUU
rnacentral:rRNA from 1 species